GUCGGGGUGCUGUAGCCACGGGUUCCAUAUUGAAGUCCGUAAUCUGCUUACGAGUCUCGCGCGCUCGUUCGGGUGGGUCAUCUCAGGCCACGUCGCGCAGCCGUCCAGCUCGGUCUGGCCGCUCGCAGGUAGAGCUUCACUCUCACCGCUCCCGAUGAGAAGGAUUACUGUCGUUGUUGUGUUGGCCAGAACUGGUUCCCAGCCCCUGAGGUGUGUGUGAGGGGAGGAGGCCUCGCUCCUUGUGUUGUGCUGGAGGCCAUUCCGAUUCUGGGGUUCUAAGGAGCCGUGGAACCACAGAGGAAUGAUGUCAAGGCCCUGAUCCCUACAGUUCAGUAUGUCAGGAUUCACAACCCUCUUCCGCCUGGUUUCCUUCAGUGUGGAUGGAGUAUUGAAGGUCUAUUUCAGUGUGGAUGGAGUAUUGAAGUUCUAUUUUAGUGUGGAUGGAGUAUUGAAGUGUACAACUAUUUUUGUGAAUCGGUGAAGAGUGCGGCGUGGAAGCACUGCGUGAGUGAAGAGUGCGGCGUGGAAGCGCCAGCGAUGUGAUUGCUGGACCGCACUCUGGCUGAAGAUUUCAGCGCUCUAGAAAUGUAUCUGUAAUAAAAAACAAACAAAUUUGAACAAGUUUCAUGAACCUCUAGAAUGAAUGAAACCCUUUAGCUUAUAGCUUAUCAUUUGUGACCAGGCAUGAGAAAACCAGCCACAUGUCUCCCCAGAGACAUUUUGAGUUAUUCACGGAUUCUGUGUAGUUUCAAAGCUAUCCAAUGAUGUCUCACUCAUGGAGAUCUGAUAAUAUUUGAAUAAGUUGUGAAGUUACUGAGAAAACUGGCCUAAUAGAUUUGCAAAUUCUGGUAAUUCUGACAUCUGGUAUCUGUAGCCCUUCCCCCUAUAGGUGUCGCUGUGACACCUGGAUCUGCUAGCCUGCAGGGCAGAAAGAAUUGUAGUGUUGUUAAUAUUGAUGUAGUGUUAUUUUCAUUAGGCACUUCACUGGUACUUUAUUGAAAUGGAAAUGCUUUUGUUACAAAAGGCCCUGAAUAGCAUGCAUUAAUACACAGGGUAAGAUGUUACAAUACCAUAAUCCAAGGUAUAAACCACAUCUAGUUCCCAAUAGAAGACCCAAUAACAUACACAUACAACAAGCAGGAUUUCAAAAUGGAAGUCAAUAUGAAUCCAAUAGAAAAAUAAGAAUAAAGAUCCUAUACACUAGACAAUAAGAAUAAAGAUACUAUGAAAAAGAUACUAAAUAACAAACAAGGUCCACAUCAAUGUGCUGAGGCUGUGUGAUAAGGGUGACAGGGCAGGGACUGACCCUGUGGUACAGGAGAGUUCAGGUAUUAUUUGGUAAAGUGCAAAAAAGUAAAGCAAGACAGUGCAGUUUUAAGUCAGGAGACUUUGGAGGCAACACAAUAAGUCAGAACUAGAGUUAAGUGAAUUUAGUCCAGGCUGUUGGAGGGAGGGAGAGGCUGUGCAUAAAGGCUAUCAUAGCAAGGAAAGACUGUCAACAGGGGGCAGAACCGCUGAAUUGCGCAGUAACUGAAAUUCCACAGGAUCUGCAUCACAGUGACUUUUUGCAAGCACCACACUUGGGGGUAUUCCAUCAACCUCGCUAAUGAAGGCGGCGCUUAACAGAAAUAGCCUGGCUUGAACUAGCGUAGACUUUCACUUGGGGCUGAAGCUGUUCCGUUAACUCAAGUUAGCGGCAUCUUGGCCUCGUUUAUUCAAGCGAGGUUUAAGUCAGCUUCAUCUCGGCUCGUGCACGAGGUAGAACAGUAGACCAAAACAGUAGAUUGACGAAAAGAGGAUAUAUGUUGUAAAAUUAAGACAAUACUAGACGAUUUCUGUUCGAUUUGGCAAGCGACAUCUACAGGAUUUUCAUCGAAAGUCAUCAAAUUUAACAUCGAGAGAAAAAAUAGAUUGCCUACAGAAAUUGGAGAAUAAUGAAAGCAUACAUUUAAAACA